ACAACUGAAUCAGUCGCAAUGUGACUAAUGGAUAACAAGAUAUAUUGUACAUUUGUUAUUUGUUUAACAUCAACUCGCACGUUUGGGUUAGUAGAGUCUUAUUCGCACGCAUCGUAACGACAAGCCUUUUAAUACUCACAAUAGCUAACGCUUACCGAACAAGUAUUUCAUAAGUAGUUUUUAACUGCGACACACAUUAUUAAGCAAUUGCUACCAUUAUUGUUUAAAUGCAGACCUAAAAAUCGACACCCAAUCGUGACAAGGAACAAGGAAUUAAGCUUGUAUAGAACUUACUUUUCACAUAACACUAAUGGUCGUACAUAAGUGGAAUUGGGGCGGGUUUAAAACAGUUUUCAUUGUUCUUCAUCCGGUCAUAAACUUAUGGGAUUCAUGAAUUUCGAAUUUAGAUGUUACUUCAUUCGAUCGUUUAAGUAUAAGAAUAACAUCAUUAUUGAAUAUAGUCAUAAGAUAAAAUGUCACAGGUUAACAAAUGCACGCUUAUGGUAUAUCUCUUAUUGGUUGGAUUUUAUGGCACGUCAUGUUUCAUGUGCGGAGGUACACCGUGCGAAGAAGGCGGGGUGUGUUGCUCACCGUUUAGCAGGAAUAUCAGCGGACCCUGUUGCUGCCUUGGAGCACUGAUGACGUGCUCAUCAGCUCCGAUCGAGCCGUCCAAGCCAAUAAAGCACGAUUCCAACAUUUUCCCUUUGUGGGGAAAGAUAGUGAUUCCGAUUGCGAUCAUCGGUGUUUUAGUUGCUGUGGGUGUCCUGAUCUACAAGAAAAAUUUGUGUGCGCGACGCUCGUAUUCGAAUUUGCCAUGAUCUUUUAUUCGAACAUUUUACUUUCUGAUUUUAAAUUUGUUUUAGUCACUCCUGUAACUGCUGUUGACAUCUUAUGUUCAUGGCUCUUUUAAAAUACAGGAUUACUGUUUAAAACCGAUGUUCAUAUUACAUUUAAUCAAUGAAAUAUCGAAUAAAAUAUCUUCUAUAAAGUAUAUGUUAUGUAAAUGUCUUUAUACUUCGUUACAAGCCGAAUACUGAUUUUAGUACACUAAGACAAGAACUAUGCAUAAGACUACAAGAAUCAGUAAAAACAAAAAAACAUAGUGUUUUCGAUAGUAUUUCGACAUAAAUGUGUACACGCUCGCUUCUGUCAUGUUAACAGAUUUGGAAAAGACUCACCUAAAGCAAAAUGUUUGGUUGAGAAUCAUUUCGUAACACAUGCUGUUGUUCAUAAUAUCAUAUAAUUACAUCAUACAUAUGUAAUUGAUUUAUAAUUUCAUAUGACCGAAGUUAUAUAAAAAGUUUAGGUGUGCUUUUGCAAUAUGGUUUAAGUAUAUAAUAACAACUCAUUAAAAACAAUAGGUUCUAUGUUCAAUAGAAUUACAACUAUUUAAUCGAUACGUUUUGUUUCUGUAGAGCAAAUGUUUUCGACACAGUUGAACACAACGUAAUUUUUAUGAUCACGAAUUAAACACAUAUUUAUUAUCUACCGAGACAGGCACAUUGUAUACUUUCAUUCAAUUAGUUCACAUUUUACAUGUAAAUUUUUGAAACAUUUGCAUUAAUCAUAUCGUUAUAGCGUAUUUUUACAUUAUUUUGAGCCCGGUUUUUGUUUAAUGAUGCGUGUCUUCUACUGUUAAAAUUUGUGAACCAUGAAAACGAAAUGCCAAAGUAAAACGGCGAACACUUUUAGUAAUUAUCACUGUAAAAUGUUUACGGUAGAAACAUUGAAUAACAAUGUGUUCACUCCUAUUUCUGUUUAAA